GUAGGUGGCAAGCGUUGUCCGGAAUUAUUGGGCGUAAAGCGCGCGCAGGCGGUUCUUUAAGUCUGAUGUGAAAGCCCACGGGCUCAACCGUGGAGGGUCAUUGGAAACUGGAGAACUUGAGUACAGAAGAGGAAAGCGGAAUUCCACGUGUAGCGGUGAAAUGCGUAGAGAUGUGGAGGAACACCAGUGGCGAAGGCGGCUUUCUGGUCUGUAACUGACGCUGAGGCGCGAAAGCGUGGGGAGCAAACAGGAUUAGAUACCCUGGUAGUCCACGCCGUAAACGAUGGGUGCUAAGUGUUAGGGGGUUUCCGCCCCUUAGUGCUGCAGCUAACGCAUUAAGCACUCCGCCUGGGGAGUACGGCCGCAAAGGCUG
rnacentral:rRNA from 1 species